AUGAUGUAUGGAAGGAGAAAAAGUUAGUGCUCCCCUUGAUAAGGAUGGAUGACGUCCUUGUGGCAUUUACAGCACAUAUAUGGUUAAGAAAUUGCCACUUUGUGAUGUCUAACCACCAUUUAAG